GUUAGCCAAAGGGCUACUUUUUGGAGAACCCUUCAUCAAGGAGCUCCAAAGGCACGUCAACCUCUAUGCCACCCUGAAUAAAUCCCAAUCUUCAAUGAGGAGGGUGUUCCACACUAACACCUCUCGUGUUUUGGCAGGGCUGGAAGGCAGCGGGGUCGUGCCUUCAGCUGUUUCUGGCCAUCGAGCCACCGAGGAUCAUCCUUCUUCCCCAGCUACCACUCUGGAUCUUUUAACUCCCAGAGGUCGUACCAUGGCAGAGGGAACCGGACACGCGGUAGAGGCAGAAUGCCCGCAGGUGAGACAUGUU